AGAAGUCAAAGCCUUACUCUGGAAAUGAAGCUGGCCAUAUUUAAAUUAUAUAAAUUUUCCUUUAGUUAUUUCCAUUUACUUUGCUUUUACUGUUUAAUGAAGAUAUUUUGGAAAUGUCGGCACAUGUCAGCUCUGCUCAAUGGAAUCAAAAAAAGGAGCUUCGUGUUUGGGCCAGAAUUCCUAGGAGUCAGGAGUGGAUGUGUCAAGGGAAUUGAGAUGACGAAACCCAAGGAAGAUGAAUCUCAGUGAAACAGAGCCAAGAUCUUUCCCCAUCUUGACAAUUAUUUCUGGAUCUCUUCUUUAAUAAAAGUUUGGAGGGCUUGCUAUAUUGUUUUACUCAUUCAUAUACAUUUAGUUUUCAGAUGUCAAAGGCACACCUUCUUAAAGAGAAAUUGGUCUCUAUCUGCUUAAAUUGCAAAUUAAAUUUGAACAGAAACAGAAUCCAUAAAUUAUGAAUUACUUUAAGCAAUUUCUUUUCUGUAUCCUAUGUAGAACAAUUUGGCCGGGCAUGGUGGUUCAUGCCAGUAAACCCAACACUUUGGGAGGGUUGAAGUUGAAGAUCCACUUAAGUUCCUGGUGGAUCACUUCAAGUCAGGAAUUGGAGACCAGCCUGGCCAACAUGGCAACACUGUCUCUACUAAAAAUACAAAAAAAUAGCCAGAUGUGGUGAUGUGCAUCUAUAAUCCCAGCUAUUCAGGAGGCUGAAGCAGAAGAAUCACUUGAACCCAGGAGGCAGAGGUUGUAGUGAGCCGAGAUCACGCCACUUUAAUCCAGCCUGGGACACAGCAAGAUUCUGUUUAAAAAAAAAAAAAGAAGAAGAAUUUAACUAUCACUGUUUAUUAAUAUCUUCAGGCACGCUGAAUGAAAGGUUCACUCGGAAGUAGAUGUAAUAAUCUUCUCUGGGCUGGAUCAGCAAGUCAUCUGGACAGAUGAUAAGAGUGUGGGAAUAAAGGGUAAAGGACCAAAUGGAGUUGAGGACCUGAAGGUUGGACUUCUAAACUUGCUGGAUGCUUACCCAGAAGUUCUUGACAGCAAUAAUCUUGGUUUCUUAGCUAUUUGCCCUGCCUCAAUCGUCCCCAAGUGACUGCUCCUGUCCAGGCCUCCUGAAGCAGAGCCAGCCUAAGCUUCUGGCAGACAGGAUUCUAUCAGGGAACCAGGAUUAUUGUGAGUAUGUUGAAUAAG